AACCAAUGAGGUUCAUUCUCGUGUUACGCAGCACGUUUGAGCUUCAGCGAGAACCAAUGAGGUUCAUUCUCGUGUUACGCAGCACGUUUGAGCUUCAGCGAGAACCAAUGAGGUUCAUUCUCGUGUUACGCAGCACGUUUGAGCUUCAGCGAGAACCAAUGAGGUUCAUUCUCGUGUUACGCAGCACGUUUGAGCUUCAGCGAGAACCAAUGAGGUUCAUUCUCGUGUUACGCAUCACGUUUGAGCUUCAGCGAGAACCAAUGAGGUUCAUUCUCGUGUUACGCAUCACGUUUGAGCUUCAGCAAGAACCAAUGAGGUUCAUUCUCGUGUUACGCAUCACGUUUGAGCUUCAGCGAGAACCAAUGAGGUUCAUUGUCGUGUUACGAAGCAGGUUUUAAGCUUCAGCGAGAACCAAUGA